rnacentral:rRNA from 1 species
AUUGAACGCUGGCGGCAGGCCUAACACAUGCAAGUCGAACGGCAGCACAGAAGAGCUUGCUCUUUGGGUGGCGAGUGGCGGACGGGUGAGUAAUGUCUGGGAAACUGCCCGAUGGAGGGGGAUAACUACUGGAAACGGUAGCUAAUACCGCAUAACGUCGCGAGACCAAAGUGGGGGACCUUCGGGCCGCACACAAUCGGAUGUGCCCAGAUGGGAUUAGCUAGUAGGUGGGGUAAUGGCUCACCUAGGCGACGAUCCCUAGCUGGUCUGAGAGGGUGACCAGCCACACUGGAACUGAGACACGGUCCAGACUCCUACGGGAGGCAGCAGUGGGGAAUAUUGCACAAUGGGCGCAAGCCUGAUGCAGCCAUGCCGCGUGUAUGAAGAAGGCCUUCGGGUUGUAAGGUACUUUCAGCGGGGAGGAAGGCGGUGAGGUUAAUAACCUUGCCGAUUGACGUUACCCGCAGAAGAAGCACCGGCUAACUCUGUGCCAGCCGCCGCUGUAA